AACCAAAGUGUUGAGUUCAGCUCAAGGUGUUGUCCUUGUUGUGGUAAUUAAGCUUUGGGAUAGUGAGUGACUGAGAAUUGCACCAUGGUGACUGAAAGUGUUUCAUGCCACCUGUGUUUCUCAGCCUACAAAC
ensembl:snoRNA